GGCGGGUCUCCCCGCAUGGUUUCUUGGGUCAACGGGUCAGGCGCGGAAGCGAGCAGCCCAACUCAAAUAAACCAGUGCCGGGGGUCUGGCUCGCCACC
rnacentral:SRP_RNA from 1 species